rnacentral:rRNA from 1 species
UGGCGGCGCGCUUAACACAUGCAAGUCGCACGAGAAAGCUGGAGCAAUCUGGUGAGUAAAGUGGCGCACGGGUGAGUAACACGUGGGUGAUCUACCUUCUUGUGGGGAAUAACCCUGGGAAACCGGGGCUAAUACCGCAUAAGCCCGAAAGGGGAAAGCAGCAAUGCGCUGGAAGAGGAGCCCGCGGUCGAUUAGCUUGUUGGUAGGGUAAUGGCCUACCAAGGCAUUGAUCGAUAGCCGGCCUGAGAGGGCACACGGCCACACUGGCACUGAAACACGGGCCAGACUCCUACGGGAGGCAGCAGUGGGGAAUCUUGCACAAUGGGGGAAACCCUGAUGCAGCGACGCCGCGUGAGCGAUGAAGCCCUUCGGGGUGUAAAGCUCUUUCGGCAGGAAAGAUUAUGACGGUACCUGCAGAAGAAGCUGCGGCUAACUACGUGCCAGCAGCCGCGGUAAUACGUAGGCAGCAAGCGUUGUUCGGAGUUACUGGGCGUAAAGAGUGCGUAGGCGGUUCUCUAAGUUCGGUGUGAAAUCUCCCGGCUCAACUGGGAGGGUGCGCCGAAGACUGGAGAGCUUGAGUGUGGGAGAGGAAAGCGGAAUUCCUGGUGUAGCGGUGAAA